rnacentral:rRNA from 1 species
CUAUUUAAAUGAUCCAUGAAACGAUAAGUUUAUUUUUUCAAAAAUUAAUUUAAUCGUACCGAUAACCGCAUCAGGUCUCCAAGGUGAGUAGCUUCUGGCCAUUGAGUAAUGGUAAUUUAGGGAAUUCGGCCAAUUAGAGCUGUAACUUCGGGAUAAAGCUUGGCUCUGAUGGAAAUCAGAACCGAUAGUUACAAGGAGAGCCCAACUGUUUAAUAAAAACUUAGUGUCGCGUCAUACCUUUAUAAGUAAUAAACGUGACAUGAAUCCUGCUCAGUGCUGUGUUUGUUAAACUGGAUUAAUCCAUUUAAGCGCCGGUAAAUAGCUGGGGUAACUAUGACUCUUAUCAAAGUAGCGAAAUACCUCGUCACUUAAUUAGUGACCUGCAUGAACGGAGCUAUGAGGUUCUCACUGUCCCAAAUUAUCACUCAGCGAACCAACAGUUGUGGGAACGGGCACAAAUUAUCCAGCGGGGAAAGAAGACCCUGUAGAGCUUCACUUUGGUCUAAUCUUGUAUAGUUUCGUUAGGGGUGCAGUCUAGGUGGGAGAUUUUUAAUCAAAUAUGAGAAACCACUACCCUUUCUGGAAUUAUACUUACUAAAAUUCUUUUAUAAAUUUUAGGAUCGGAUUAGAUAGAAAGUUUGGCUGGGGCGGCACACCUUCGAAAAAGCAGCGAAGGUGUCCUAAGUUAAGCUCAGUAAGGACAGAAAUCUUACGUUGAGGAUAAGGCCAAAAGCUUAAUUUACUGUGCCUUUUUGUACUAGGAUCAGUUUGGAAACAAAGGCCUAACGAUCCCUAAUUAGUCUUAGGUGUGUAAGACUUGGGGUGACAGACAAGUUACCUCCGGGACAACUGGCUUGUGGCUGCUAAGAGAUCAAAUCAACGCAGCUUUUUGAUUCUUCGAUGUCGGCUCUUCCUAUCCUAGUGAUGUACAAGUCACUAAGGGUUGGAUUGUUCACCCGUAUUAGGGAUCGUGAGCUGGGUUUAGACCGUCGUGAGCCAGGUUUGUUUUAUCCUACUGGAUAUAAUUUAGCAUCUUGAUAGUAGUUUGAUUUAGUACGAGAGGAACUGUUGAAUAUGGUCUCUGGUUUGGGAAUUUUAUGAAAAUAAAAGUUCCAAAGCUACGCCGUCUGAGAUAAUGGCUGAAGGCCUCUUAAGCCAGAAACUCAUCUAAAAAUAGAUGCUUUAAACUAUUUAAAAGAAUUAAAUUUAAAAUAUUUUUUUUAUUAAAAUUUGU